rnacentral:rRNA from 1 species
GGAGGCAGCAGGCACGCMAAUUACCCACUCCCGGCACGGGGAGGUAGUGACAAAAAAUAACGAUACGGGACUCUUAUGAGGCCCCGUAAUCGGAAUGAGUACACUUUAAAUCCUUUAACAAGGAUCCAUUGAAGGGCAAGUCUGGUGCCAGCAGCCGCGGUAAUUCCAGCUUCAAUAGCGUAUAUUAAAGUUGUUGCGGUUAAAAAGCUCGUAGUUGGUUCUGCGUGCUACGCUGUCGGUUCGCCGCCUGCCGGUGUAACUGGCAUGCCGUGGCAUGUCCUGCCGGUGGCGCGCGGGAGCCUUGUCAGGUGACGGCCCGGGUUUAAUCGCUCGGUUUCGUAGGCCGGAGGUCCAACCCGUGCGCCUACUCUAUCCUACCUAGGUGCUCUUCACCGAGUGUCGAGGUAGGCCGGUACGUUUACUUUGAACAAAUUAGAGUGCUCAAAGCAGGCUGAAAUCUCUGCCUGAAUAGUGGUGCAUGGAAUAAUAAAACAGGACCUUGGUUCUAUUUUGUUGGUUCUUAGGAACACAAGGUAAUGAUCAAUACGGACAGGCGGGGGCAUUCGUAUUGCGACGUUAGAGGUGAAAUUCUUGGAUCGUCGCAAGACGCACGAAAGCGAAAGCAUUUGCCAAGUAUGUCUUGAUUGAUCAAGAACGAAAGUUAGAGGUUCGAAGGCGAUCAGAUACCGCCCUAGUUCUAACCAUAAACGAUGCCAGCCAGCGAUCCGCCGAUGUUCCUCCGAUGACUCGGCGGGGAGCUUCUUCCCGGGAAACCAAAGCUUUUGGGUUCCGGGGGAAGUAUGGUUGCAAAGCUGAAACUUAAAGGAAUUGACGGAMGGGCACCACCAGGAGUGGAGCCUGCGGCUUAWUUUGACUCAACACGGGAAACCUCACCAGGCCAGGACAUUGGAAGGAUUGACAGAUUGAUAGCUCUUUCUUGAUUCAGUGGGUAGUGGUGCAUGGCCGUUCUUAGUUGGUGGAUCGAUUUGUCUGGUUAAUUCCGAUAACGAACGAGACUCUAGCCUAUUAACUAGGCGUUUUCCGGUGUCCCCGCCACCGGCGACAAUCAUUCUUCUUAAGGGGACAGGCGGCUUAUAGCCGCACGAGAUUGAGCAAUAACAGGUCUGUGAUGCCCUUAGAUGUCCUGGGCCGCACGCGCGCUACACUGAAGGAAUCAGCGUGUGCCUCCCUGGCCGAAAGGCCCGGGUAAUCCGCUGAACCUCCUGCGUGCUAGGAAUUGGGGCUUGCAAUUGUUCCCCAUGAACGAGGAAUUCCCAGUAAGCGCGAGUCAUAAGCUCGCGUUGAUUACGUCCCUGCCCUUUGUACACACCGCCCGUCGCUACUACCGAUUGAAUGAUUUAGUGAGGUCUUCGGACUGGCGGUAAUCCCUA